AUUGAACGCUGGCGGCAGGCCUAACACAUGCAAGUCGAACGCGUGGCGGACGGGUGAGUAAUGUCGGGGAAACUGCCUGAUGGAGGGGGAUAACUACUGGAAACGGUAGCUAAUACCGCAUACCAUCGGAUGUGCCCAGAUGGGCUUAGCUAGUAGGUGGGGUAAAGGCUCACCUAGGCGACGAUCCCUAGCUGGUCUGCGAGGGUGACCAGACACACUGGAACUGAGACACGGUCCAGACUCCUAAGGGAGGCAGCAGUGGGGAAUAUUGCACAAUGGGCGCAAGCCUGAUGCAGCAAUGCCGCGUGUAUGAAGAAGGACUUCGGGUUGUAAAGUACUGUCAGUGGGGAGGCGUUACCCGCAGAAGAAGCAACGGCUAACUCCGUGCCAGCCGCCGCGGUAAUUC
rnacentral:rRNA from 1 species